rnacentral:misc_RNA from 1 species
UCUCCGUUGGUGAACCAGCGGAGGGAUCAUUACAGAGUUAUCUAACUCCCACCCUUUGUUUAACUAUACCUUUGUUGCUUUGGCAGGCCUGCCUUACAGCUCCCGGCCGCUUGGCUGGGUCGUGCCUGCCAGAGGACCUAAAACUCUUAUUAUUCAGUAUUGUCUGAGCCAUGAUUUAAUCAUAUAAAACUUUUAACAACGGAUCUCUUGGUUCUGGCAUCGAUGAAGAACGCAGC